AGGCCGUACCCAUAUCCGCAGCAGGUCUCCAAGGUGAACAGCCUCUGGCAUGUUGGAUGAAGGGAGUUAAGGGAAGUCGGCAAGUCAGAUCUGUAACUUCGGGAUAAAGAUUGGCUCUAAGGGUUGGUUGGGUCGGUCGGGCUGGCUUAUCAAAAUGGGUGCCAACAUUGUCCAGGGUAAAGACCAGAUCGGUUAACAUUCAGGUCCAGGAGAGCGACUGACUGAUGCUUCCUGGGAUAUCCUCAGUGGAAGCCGAAUUAAUGACGGAAGCUGCCUUGCAAAUAAGGGUAGAGGCAGCAGAAGU
rnacentral:ncRNA from 1 species